CUUACAGUCUUCCUCCUGCUCUGGAAUUCUUCGGGCAAGAAUGUUGGAAACAGGAAGCCGCCCCCUUCCCAAUGACUAUCCUCAGAGGGCCAGCACACACACAAUCCUGAGGCCCGGGCAAGUCAGGCCUAGCCAGACAGGGAGCCCCCAGCAGCCUCUGGCCCACCGGCUGUAGGCCGCAGAGCUGUGGCCUCUCCCUACCCCUCCCCUGGGUCCCUCCUGGCACGGCCUCUGAUCAGUUUCCCUGUCCUGUGCCUUUUCCACCCCCAGCCUGCCUGGCUGGGUCCUCACUCCCAUCUUGCCAGCCCCUUCCUCUCGGAUCCAGCCCUGUCCCCUGCCCUCGGGCACUGGGCCCAGCUCCUAGCCAGCCAGUCCUCCCCGAAAGCUCCGUGCUCUGCCUGGCUGUGAGCCUGCCACAGCCUGGGGGUUUACCCAGGAAUCCCAACUCCUGCACCUACUUGGACAAGUCUCAUCGCCCCGACAGCCCUCACAGCCUCAAAGUCACAGCCCUUCUGGAUGUGUGAGCUCCCCGUCCUCCCCGCCACAUGGCCAUCCACGGCCUCGGGCUUUCCUGCCUCAGAACCUCUGCAAGCUGCUCAGCACACUCUUCCCGCUCUCCCGCCCCUUUGGGAUGACCUUCCCGGGGCUCCUCCAUGCAGCUUUCCCCCUGCACCGCCAGCACCAGGAGGCCAGAACCACCUGGCAUUUUCUAUUUUACCCCUAGCGACUGGUGUCUGCAUGGCCAUCAGCAAUGCUUAAUAGAUGUUGAAUGCAGACAUGAAUGAAUGAAUGAGCCAAGGAACAAAGCAGCCAGGCCACGAC
rnacentral:lncRNA from 1 species